UACAGAGGUCUCGAGCGUUGUUCGGAUUCAUUGGGGCGUAAAGGGUGCGUAGGUGGCACUGUAAGUCGGGUGUGAAAUCCUGAGGCUUAACCUCGGAACUGCAUUCGAUACUGCGGUGCUCGAGGACUGGAGAGGAGACUGGAAUUCAUGGUGUAGCAGUGAAAUGCGUAGAGAUCAUGAGGAAGACCAGUGGCGAAGGCGGGUCUCUGGACAGUUCCUGACACUGAGGCACGAAGGCCAGGGGAGCAAACGGG
rnacentral:rRNA from 1 species